GACCUAGAAUGACUAGUUUAGAAACAAUUAAAAAUGAUAUGAUUAAUACUAACUUAACGAAGGAGAUGACCUAUAACAGAAUGAAAUAGAAAAAUAGGUUUCAUAUCGCCGAUCUCAAACAUUUAAGAUAAAUGUUUGGUUGUUGUUGUUGUUGUUGUAUAUAUGUCUUACUUUAUAGCUUAUAGAUUUUGUAUUAGUGAGAUGCUAGUGUGGGCUUUAUUUAGUACUUCUCUUCUCUAUAGCUAUAUCAUAUGAACGUUGUGCCAUGUGAAAAAAAAAUGGUAGAAACUUAGAACUUAUACAUUCUUUAUUAUAGCUUAUUGUCAACUACAAUUAUGCUCACAUAGAAUUAGCUUCUGAUUCUAGAUUGUUUGGUUGCAAUCUAUGAGCUUUCUUUUGGUAAGAUUAUCAUUCACAACAGUCACAAAUAGAUUUAUCUUUAAUGAGAGGUAAUCUGAAAUUGGCUAUCAUAUCCAUUUUUUAGACAAAAUUCGAAACCAACCAAAUACAAGAAAAGUGGGGAAAAUCUUGUUAACUAAUUGUUUUCUCAUGUGUUAUAUACCAACCAAACAAGAGAAAAGUGUGUAAAUUGGUUCCCACCAUGUUUCAAGUGUGAACUAAACACGAAGGGCUGUUUGGGGUUCUCUUAAAAGACCCCCGAAAACCCUUUCCUCAUGCUGAUACAGUGUCCACAUAUGACUUUUUGUUUCCCAUUGUUUCUGUGUUUGUGUUUGGUUUGCGAUGAGAGCUAGGGUUUGAAGAGGCGGGAAAGAGCUCAAUCUAAGCCAAUUUUCUUCCCCCAAUUUCCUUCCAAAUUGAGCAGAAAUGCAUGCAAACCCCAUCUCUUGUGUAGUUUUGUUAGAUCUACAAAAAAUUGGGGGAAAUCGGGUUGUUAGCUAGGGUUACCGCCAUUUCUCGUGCUUCCCUCUUAUUCCUGCUCAUCCCUCUUCUUCGCGUCUUGGUUCUCUGUUGAGAGUUUGAAGAGGCAUCGGACAAGGGUUUUCCCCUUUGGUUCUCACUGUUCUUCUUGUUUGCGAUCUCAAAUUUCGGCAAUUUCAAGCAAGAAAUUUGUUGGUUCAUGUUGCUCUUGCUUGCGGUCUGAAAUCAAAGAAGCUUACUUUAGUUGUCUACGAACCUAAAUCAUGGAAACAAUGUAGAAAUAUGCAUUGUUAUGACUCAAACUCUGAAAUCAAAGAAGCUUACUUUAGUUGUUCUUGUUAUUUGUUUAUAAGAAAGUUGAAUAAUCAUGUAUUUAGAAGUGGAGUUAUGAAGACUACUAGAAAUCAUGGAUUCAAUUUGAACAAGUUGUUCUUGUUGUUUGUUUUAAAGAAAGUGGAGCUAUAAACACUUUUUAAGUUUUUUUUAAAGAGUAGUAUGUUCCUACGA